AAGCUAGAAGCGUGAAAACGUGGAUGGGAUUCUAUACUGUGGCAUCUGCUUUUCGAGAUAGACAUAAGAAAAAAAAUCGUGAUAUGAGGCAGUGGAAUUAAUCUAUCGCGAAUUGACCAGCGUUUACAAGCAAUCGGAAAUUGACUGGAAAAUAAUACACAAUGCAGGAUGCACUAGAGAUGAUACUGAUUUGCCAGACCAUGUUACCGCGCCUAAUGACCUCAAUCGAUUAAUCAGCGUAACAUUCAGAUCCUUUUUGACUGCUCUGCCGACUCCUCCUACGAUCGUAACAAUUGCAAGAUCCAGCGAAGACGAAUAUUGUCCGUCAGAGGACGUCGAUCAAAUUCAGAUGGGAGUGCUCGAAGAACUUCGUGAAUGUUUAGGAGAUAUCGACAUCCAAUUGGCUUAUCAAGAGGAGGAGCAAUCUUUUUAAACGUCAAAACAUGACAUAAUCACCCUUUCCUUUCCAACAUAUAAAUGUUAAUCGAAUAAUGUUCAUUUCAAUACAAUAAACGUUUUUACAAAAUAUAUUCGCCUCUCCGUUAAUCGUAUCUUCUGUCAGCCAUUCCGCGGUCCAUAAUAAAAAUAAAAUCUACCGGUUCGAG
rnacentral:misc_RNA from 1 species